GUAGGUACUAGAGCAGCUUCAGGUGGUCUGACCUGAGUUUAAGCCAUACACAAGCUAUCCAAGCUAACAGUCGAGCUCGUAUCACGCAUUUGAUGAGGAUUAUGCUCUAUACGCGGCGGCAGACCUCCUCGACGCCGUCUCCUCACGCCACAAGGCUGCUGCAUCCGUGUCUCCCAGUACGGUGCCCGAGGGCACGGCGGCGGAUGACGUGUCCCUGUCGGUGCCGGACGCCGCAUCAGGGAACUCGUGGCUGUCGUCGUGGUUCUCAGGAGGUUCGUCGUCGUCCACGGGUGGCGGCGGCUCGUGGGGCUCGGGAGGAGAUUAUUCCGACUGCUCGGUUUCGGGGUACUAGAUGAACAAAUGCUGCCAGCUUAUAUGCACGCUAGUCUUUUAAAAAGUGUCUAGAUACAUGUAAUAUUUCGAUAAGAAUUAUAAAAAGUAUCUAGAUACAUGUAAUAUUUCGAUAAGAAUUAUGGAACGGAGGAGGAAGUAACGCUUUCACAUAA